CCAGUGUUGGCAGUGGGCUGACAGGUCUGGCUGCAGGAGAUCCCGGGUACUUACUACUGUCCAUCAAAUACGGGAAAGGACCACUUCACAUGUCCAAAUGGUGCAGGAUGUUGUCAAAUUCCUCUGUGGCUGUAUGGCUUUUGUGUGGGAAGCUGUUUGACAGAAGGGAAUGGAGUCACACAGCAAAGUGUCUUUUGAGUAUAAGGAGAGGGUUCCUGACUCCUAAAACCCUUAGAAGUUCCUGUAAUAAAAGCAAUAAAGAGUGGCGCCUGAGUGGCUCAGUGGAU